GAUGAAGAACGUAGUGAAAUGCGAUAAGUAAUGUGAAUUGCAGAAUUCAGUGAAUCAUCGAAUCUUUGAACGCAUCUUGCGCUCCUUGGUAUUCUGAGGAGCAUGCCUGUUUGAGUGUCAUUAAAUUCUCAACUACACUGACUUUGAAUUGGUGUGGCUUGGAUUUGGGUGGGAAAAUUGUUGUGGGCUUUUUGUAUAGUCUGCUCCCCUGAAAUUGAUUAGCGGUACCUUUGUGGAACUGUCUACAGGUGUGAUAAUUAUCUACAUCCUCGACAUCUGCUGGAAUGCUGCUUUCUAAACCUUACUUGUAUUGACAUUCUUGACCUCAAAUCAGGUAGGACUACCUGAUGAACUUAAGCAUAUCAAUAAGCGGAUGA
rnacentral:misc_RNA from 1 species